CCUACGGGAGGCAGCAGUGAGGAAUAUUGGUCAAUGGACGAGAGUCUGAACCAGCCAAGUAGCGUGAAGGAUGACUGCCCUAUGGGUUGUAAACUUCUUUUAUAAAGGAAUAAAACGAGGCACGUGUGCCUUUUUGCAUGUACUUUAUGAAUAAGGAUCGGCUAACUCCGUGCCAGCAGCCGCGGUAAUACGGAGGAUCCGAGCGUUAUCCGGAUUUAUUGGGUUUAAAGGGAGCGUAGAUGGGUUGUUAAGUCAGUUGUGAAAGUUUGCGGCUCAACCGUAAAAUUGCAAUUGAUACUGGAAGUCUUGAGUACAGUUGAGGUAAGCGGAAUGCGUGGUGUAGCGGUGAAAUGCUUAGAUAUCACGAAGAACCCCGAUUGCGAAGGCAGCUUACUAAACUGUGACUGACAUUGAUGCUCGAAAGUGUGGGUAUCAAACAGGAUUAGAUACCCUUGUAGUC
rnacentral:rRNA from 1 species